rnacentral:rRNA from 1 species
CGUUCUCGGGUCUUGUACACACCGCCCGUCACACCACGGGAGUUGGGGGCGCCCGAAGCCGGAUUGCUAACCUUUUGGAAGCGUCCGUCGAAGGUGAAAUCAAUAACUGGGGUG